GGGUUCGAGUUGGAGCACGCCUGUCGGGACCCGAAAGAUGGUGAACUAUGCCUGAGCGGGGCGAAGCCAGAGGAAACUCUGGUGGAGCACCGAAGCGAUACUGACGUGCAAAUCGUUCGUCUGACUUGGGUAUAGGGGCGAAAGACUAAUCGAACCAUCUAGUAGCUGGUUCCCUCCGAAGUUUCCCUCAGGAUAGCUGGAGCCCAUUACGAGUUCUAUCAGG
rnacentral:ncRNA from 1 species